CUAGGCUUGAACUACUGGAAGUAGUCUUGAUGAAAGUCGAGGCGAACCGUCAAGUCGGAAACCAGCAGAGGUGCUGCAUGGCUGUCGUCAGCUCGUGUCGUGAGAUGUUGGGUUAAGUCCCGCAACGAGCGCAACCCUUAUCCUAUGUUGCCAGGCCCGCAAGGGCGGAACUCUUAGGAAACUGCCUCGGAUAACGGGGAGGAAGGUGGGGAUGACGUCAAGUCACCAUGGCCUUUAUGUCUAGGGCUACACACGUGCUACAAUGGCCGGUACAGCGAGCAGCUAAUCCGCAAGGAGGAGCAAAUCUCUAAAAGCCGGCCGCCGGCCGAUCAGCUGGCCCCGGUGAAUACGUUCCCGGGCCUUGUACACACCGCCCGUCACACCACGAAAGUUGGCUGCAACCAAAGUCGGUGACCCAACCCGUCAAGGGAGGUAGCCGCCGAAGUUGUGACCAGUAAUUGGGGUUG
rnacentral:rRNA from 1 species